GUGGCUCCUAUUAAUUAUUAUCCAUUCUCACUCUUCCUGACGUGAUCGAAUUCUACAUCGCAGCUUUCGCCUCUACCUGGGGCCCGGGCGCAUAUGCUGUAUGUUCCGAGAUCUUCCCUCUCAACAGCCAAGCCAAGAGGAUAUCUGGCGGCAAAGCAACUUACAUUUAUCGAACCUCGACUCCUUUAUGGUGUGGUGUCACCGCACUACCUUUAGGUGGUGUAACGCAUGUCGAGUAAUCGCGAGGAAGAGAGAGAGGCAGAGGAAUAUGAGAAGGGAAAGAGAGCGGGAAAAGAGGCGGCUAGGUCUAUGUAUUUGGGUAACUAGAUGCUGGGUUCGUGGAUGGAAUAGGAUUUAGUGUCUCUAUUGUUGUCGUACAUGGAGUACUUUGCUCCCGGACUUGCAUUGAGGGAUAUAUGCAAAAAAU
rnacentral:sRNA from 1 species